rnacentral:rRNA from 1 species
GAUGAACGCUGACAGAAUGCUUAACACAUGCAAGUCUACUUGAACUUCGGUUUGGGUGGCGGACGGGUGAGUAACGCGUAAAGAACUUGCCUCACAGAUAGGGACAACAUUUGGAAACGAAUGCUAAUACCUGAUAUUAUGAUUUUAGGGCAUCCUAGAAUUAUGAAAGCUAUAUGCACUGUGAGAGAGCUUUGCGUCCCAUUAGCUAGUUGGAGAGGUAACGGCUCACAAAGGCGAUGAUGGGUAGCCGGCCUGGGAGGGUGAUCGGCAAAAAGGGGACUGAGAACCGGCCCUUACUCCUCCGGGAGGAAGAAGUGGGGAAUAUUGAACAAUGGACCAAGAGUCUGAUCCAGACAUUCUGUGUGCAAGAUGAAGUUUUUCGGAAUGUAACGUGCUUUCAGUUGGGAAGAAAAAAAUGACGGUAACAACAGAAGAAGUGACGGCUAAAUACGUG